CACACCCAGAAUAAUGUUUGGCUAAGUAUCAGGGCACCCUAGGGCCCAGUCAAGUUGACACAUAACAUUCAUCACACCAGCUCUGCUACUUAGGAACUGUGGGGAUUGAGCAACAUCUAACCUCUAACAUCUUUGUGCUUCAUUUUCCUCCUCUGUAAAGUGGGACAAUUAAAGUGCUUACUCAUAGUGCUGUCAUGUGGUCUGAAUGAGAUAUACGUCAAACUCAGAGUGAAAAUUGACUGAAUGCUUAGGGUGUACCUGCCACGGUACUGCUGCAGCCAUUGCCAUCAUCAUCAUCAUCGCCAUCAUCCUCAUCAUCAUCCUCAUCAUCAUCCUCCUCCUCCUCCUCCUUCUCCUCCUCCUCCUCAUCAUCCCUGACAGGAACCUGCAGCUGAUGGGUCUCAUCCUGGAUUUUCUAGAAGGCUCAAGGGGAUGUGACAAGCAGCUCAGGACUUCCCUGUCACUCGCAGGGGGGAGACAGGGAGCCUGUCUUUGCUGUGACAUUGAUCCGCCAAACAGCCUCAAUUUGGGUCCAGCUAGGUGCAAUUGUGACAGGAAGUGUGCCCUAGAGGGAAGAGGGAUCUGAAAUUGGAUAUGGGUCUUGACUUCAUCCGAGACCUUGCAACUCAGUCAGAGGGAUGAGCUGUAUUCCCAACUAAGAUGGGGAAGCUGAGGCUGGGGAAGUGAAUAGCUGGUUCCAGGUCCUAGUGCCAGAGGCAGGAUUUGCACUCAUAUCUGUCCAACUCCAAGCCUUAUAAGGCAGGGCAGCCAUGGCACAGGUGUUGCCAAGAAGACACUGCUGUGGCUGACUUUGAAAUCCUGUGACAACUCCGUAAUGUCAUUGUGAUCUCCCCUGGACGUCGCUGCUCUACAUAUGGACUUGGAGAGAGCCCUCUAUCCCUGGGCCCCUGCUGACUUGUCCUGGUUCAUCACGAGUGUGUCCUUUGCACUUGAUGCUUCACUUGAGCUGCCUGGGCGUGCCAUGCUUGCUCACGCCUUUGUACAGGUAGCUCCUUCCAGCUUCUAGAAUGCUGCUUCCUCCUGCCAUGCUCCAGCCUGUCAGAUGCCUGCUCAUCCAGAGAGCCUUCAAGUCUCAGCUCUUACCCUACUCCUCUGUGCAGUGUCCCAAGGAAGACUGAGGUACUCUUCCUUCUGUGCUCUCAGCACACCCUAAGUGCACACCUUCCUCACAGCAAUCCCCAGGGCUCGUGAGGAUUACAGUCCAUUGUGGCUUGUGCAUCAAUUUUCCUCCAGACUCUAAACAACUCUAAGAGCAAGGGCUGGGCCUUGUUCACUGCUGUUCCUCCUCUGCUCCCAGCGCAGACCUGGCCUGUGGCAGGACUCAGCAUGUUUGUUGAAUGACUGAAGGAUUUUGAGGAAGCAAAAACAGCACCAGAAUGAGAAUCAAAGGAUGUGAGCUCUAGAGCAGACUUGAGGGGGCCAAAUAGCUGUGUGACCUUGGCCUGAACAGCCCCAUCUGUGUGAGAGAACAUUCACAAAAGCACGUGGGAAAGUAGAGAUAAGAGGCCAAGGUUCCCAGAGAGUUGUCUCCACUUCCCGUUGAGCCUGUGAUAUUAUGGAGAACAGCCAGGGGACAAGCUUUUAAUCAUGAAUAGAAACAUGCAAAAGUUGGCCUCAUUCCAAAUCCAAAGUCCUUAAAGCCAGGAAUUUAGUUUAAUCAUCUACAUAAAUCGAAUAUAUGGUUCUGGAAAAGACACUUAAGGCCUGGAUUUGGUUACGGCUCCCUCCUCGUUAGCUGUGUGACUUUGAGAAACGCCUCUCUGACUCAGUUACCUCGAACACACUUGUCUAUUACUUGUCAAGUGUAAUUGUCAGAUGUUCUUGCCCUGCCAGCCUCACAGGGAGGCUCUGAGGACUGAGUGUGAUGGUUUACCGGGAAGGCCUUGGGAAGCUGUAGGUGCUGGGCUGCUGGCCCCAGAGCCCCCUGGAACCCAUGGCUGAGAGUGCUGGCCGUGACGAUGCCCAACUGCACCCUUCCUGAGAGUUGCUCUCAGAGGAGUGGGUGCCUCCUCUGACCACCCUCUGGCCUCCUGCAGCCCACAGGCAUGGCCAAACAUGAGAGCACAAAAGAAAGGCCGGCCUCCUGGCAUCCAGAGGGCUGAUCCGUGGUGCAAUUGGUGCCCCAACAUCCCUCCAGAGUACCUGAUGAACCCCAAACAGCUCCUUUUAAGCGAGUUGCUAUUCUAAUCAUUGUGUUAAUUCGCCAGAGAAGGUCACCUAAUCUCUAUAUAUCAAAUAUCAAAGUCACUAAAGGAACUGAAAUGACGAAUUCGUCUAGCUUUCAAACACUGCUCCUCAGAGCCCCAGGGAAGCUGGUGUUUGUGUGAACAAGAGGGAGGCCCAGAGGUUGGAGUGGGCUUCCCUGCACAGAUCCGGCCUCCCCAUUCUGGUGAUGACGUAGGUAGCUGCGGCCCAGCGAGGGGAAGGGAUUGGCUCAAGGUCACAUGGCUGGUCAGAAGCAGAGCAGUGUCUAGAACUCAGCUUCCCUGAAUCCAAGAUUAAUGCCUUUUCCAUUGCACCUCUUGACCAGCCAGAGCCCUGCCAGGAAACACAGUUCCUCUUGGAUGGUUUGAUGAGGGGAAGUCUUAUAGAGGAAUGGGCAGGGUUAUGAGAGCAAGAAGGGAUGUUGAGGCACCAAGAGACGAGCAAGAGGAGGAAGCUUCCACCGUCCCUAAGCUUGAAGAGUCUAGGGUAGAAAAUAGCAUUAUUGGAACCCAACAUGAGCUGCGGGUGGAGGAGUGGCCUCCAGCAGGGGCUGAAGCGUGAAGGCAGGCAGCCUCUGCCAGCAAUGCAGCAGAGGGGGGUAGCGGAAGGAUACCCCAACUUCUCUUCCCCUGUCCUCUAGUCUUCUGGCAGUGCCUCCAUUGGGUGAGCCCACGGGAAGGCAGGCAGCAAAGUGUCUGCUGAUACGGUUCCUAGGGGCAGAGAAAGGCAGAGAAUGGAGCUGAGGGGACAGAGCAUGACCAGCACAACUUAACUACACAGUCAUUCCAACCGCCCAGGGUAGCGGAUGGAGACAGGGCAAGACCUCAGCAUAUUUCGAGGCAGGCUUCCUGGUGCCUGUGUACUUGGUGGUGAGGUUAGAGCUUGUGAACAUCUUCCGUGUUCCCUCUGAGUCGACUCCUCUGACAGGGGCUUGAAUUUCUGAGGGACCAGGGAGGAAAAGGUUCCUCAUGUGGAGGGAGAGAAUGAGCGACAGGACAGAGAAUGCUCUGGGCAACUCUAAGAGAGAUGUGCCGGGUUCCAGAGCAGAUGUCUCUGCACGGUUGGCAUUCGUGAUUCAUGGGUGUGCACCUGAUGAGUUUGGACAAACCAUGACACUGGGUUUUGCUAACAAAGUCCUACUCCUCCAUGACAGGCAGAGUGCCCCAAAUCCUAAUUUGCAGAUUCUGAGGGUCAGUGUUUGCAUGCUGUCUCUACAAAUAACUUUUUUCAAAGUGGGGCUAUUCCUUGUGAUCUUGCGUGUCCUAAAGAGAAAAUUUCGCUUCUGCAGAAAUAAUUUUAUGAUAUAUGAAACUCAGUCUUCUCUUAUAAAUUCUUGCUCCUGAGGAGCAGAGCCUCUCCUUGGCAGGAGUUCUUCAGAGAAUGCCCAGGGGACCAAGCAACACUCCAGUUAUUUUUAAGUCGAGCGUAUUUAUACUGAUUUCAAGGACAGUGUGAUGCCCGUGUUGACUCACUACGCAUGAUCCUGCAUAAGCGAUUAUUGAAGAGAAAGCAGUGCUGCAACGUGGAAUGGAGAACAUGCCCUCCUCCAACCCAACGUGACACAAGGAAAGGAAUGAACAUUAAAAAUAGGAUUUUCUGUUUCAUAUGGUCAUGCCCAGAACAUCUGCCGCCACAGACUGUCGGCUUCUUGCCUUUCUAUGCUCACCCAGGCCAGCUUCCUCUGGUGAGGGUCGCCCUGGAUGUCCUUAGCAAUGCUUUAUUUUCAGAUUGUGUAGGGAGUGCCACGCCUCUGAACUCCACUGCCUGCAGAUUCUUGUGGGUGCAGUGAAGAAAGUCGAUGGUAGCCAAGCAGAUCUCCUCAGGGAUGCUUUGGAAAGUCCUGUUUCCUCUACUCUGCGCUGUUCUACUAGGGCUUUCAAAAGCCUGUUUGACUUCUAGGUAUUCUCAACUCAUGUGGGCUGUGUGUUCAAAAAUCAGCCUAGAAGGAACUGCUCUUCUAAUGUUCCUCAUCAGCGUUAGUGAAACCUGUUAGAGAAGCUGAGACACAGGUGUCAAACUUGUAUGAACAUAUGGACAAGCUGAGAAUGCCUCUACCUGUUGGCAUUUGGCACAGGGAUACCACUUGUUAACUACUUCCUUUACCUUGCUUUUAUUCAACAAAUAUUUAUUGAGAAACUAUUAUGUCUAAGGCAAUGUGUUGGGCACUGGGGGUAUGGCUAUAAAGGAAGACAAAAAUUCCUGUCCUCAAGGAGUAUAUGUGUAGCUUUUAACUUAAAUUUACUGCAGUCUUUUGAUCCAUUCAUCCACCCAUCCAUCCAUCCAUCCUCCACUCAUCAUCCAUCCAUGUGUUUGCUUCAGAUUGUCUUGCAUUGCCACAUAAUUCCAUGUGGCUAGAAGGGCUACAGCGGAACACUAAGCCCCAUGUCAUUAUUCAUAAUUUAGCUAACAGGUCAGGCAUGUCUAUGGCCUCUGCUGCCCUCUAAGUGUGGGCACUGUGAUGCCUGAGACCCUGUUAGUAAAACUGGGAGAACUUGAGUGUAGGUCUUCUCAUAUGAUGAGAAGGAUGUAAAAUGUCAUUUGAAAGAGGGAGCAUGUCCUCUAGCUCACAGCUCUUCUCUGGU
ensembl:lncRNA